GUGCCUGUAGCUCAGUGGUUUAGAGCAUCGGGUUGUGGUCCCGAGGGUCGGAGGUUCGAAUCCUCUCAGGCACC
rnacentral:tRNA from 1 species